GACGAACGCUGGCGGCGUGCCUAAUACAUGCAAGUAGAACGCACAGUUUAUACCGUAGCUUGCUACACCAUAGACUGUGAGUUGCGAACGGGUGAGUAACGCGUAGGUAACCUGCCUGGUAGCGGGGGAUAACUAUUGGAAACGAUAGCUAAUACCGCAUCAUAUUAAUUAUUGCAUGAUAAUUAAUUGAAAGGUGCAAUUACACCACUACCAGAUGGACCUGCGUUGUAUUAGCUAGUAGGUGAGGUAACGGCUCACCUAGGCGACGAUACAUAGCCGACCUGAGAGGGUGAUCGGCCACAAUGGGACUGAGACACGGCCCAGACUCCUACGGGAGGCAGCAGUAGGGAAUCUUCGGCAAUGGACGAAAGUCUGACCGAGCAACGCCGCGUGAGUGAAGAAGGUUUUCGGAUCGGAAAGCUCUGUUGUAAGAGAAGAAAGGGUGUGAGAGUGGAAAGUUCACACUGUGACGGUAUCUUAACAGAAAGGGACGGCUAACUACGUG
rnacentral:rRNA from 1 species